UUAUAACCGAGUGUCCUGGCCCCACCAAGGUGGUCCAGACUAGAGACCGAACCCUUACGGCACGGACGCACAUCCGAGGGUGGGUCAUGGCUAGGUAACGGUCUACGGUCUCGGGCGCCAGAGCAAAUCCGCAUGUAAAUUCUCUGAUUGCCACUAGUAUAUAGCAAGGGGGAAUCGAAUCCGGGCGUAUUGGGAUUACCCCUCAACCACGAAACCCGUCCUACCACUAGCCCACCUUGUAGUGGUUAUGGGUUUGAACUUUGGACCCAUAUCUAAGACCUAAGUAAAGUUUUAGCAUUCUAUAAAAUAAUAAAAUGUAGUACAUACCAAACAAACUACAUACAUACUAGUAUAUAUCGGGUGCUACCAGGAGUUAUACGAAAUAACGAAUUGAAUAAUGAAAUAAUUAAGUGGUACUUAUGAUUAAUUACAUAAACGUGGGUGGUAGAUCGAAAUCGUAUAGAUUUUUAAAAACAAUGAAAA
rnacentral:lncRNA from 1 species